AGAGGAGAUCCAACAACGUGGACAUAAGGAGUUUGAAAGACCGAUGUAAGCAAGGUUGUUAACAAGCCCCAAAUCCCCAACCCCACAAAAGCAGAUUGAGUUAUAAAAUAAGAUUUCGGAAAGAAGCAUCACAACAGAGCAUUUCCUUUCCAAAUGAUUUCAGCAAUUCAGCCCCAACCCCAAAAACUCAUGCAUUCGCCACCUGAUAAUCCAAUCGACCAGGAAAAGGUUGUGGUCGUGGAUAUAAAACCACCCGUAGAAGCCGGCCAUGAAACACUCAUUUUCGCCAUAGCCUUUUUGUUGAAAUGCAUCAGCUACAUCGUUAGUCUUUUGAAAAGUCUGUGUCGCCUCUGGAUGGACUAUUACCCGUGAAUAUUUGGGGAAAUCAUGCUCCCAUCCCCAAUUAAGUUUAUUAUCAUCGGUUUAGCUGCUUUCGCUGAAAUUAAGUCGCAAGGCUCUGAAUUUCCUUUCAAAACGCACCCUCGAUCCAUGAAUAUCGCCAUAACCAGCCUACUCUUUUAUGGUUUGGCUUCAGCAGCGCAACAUAUAAUUUCUGCCUGCAAACGUUUUGGUCCGGCUUCCGUCUAUGCCAUUGUUGCUCACUCAGGAAGGAUUGGUUCUUUGUGCAUUUUGUUUAAAAGCAUUGAGCAGCAACAUGGAUAUGAAAAUUGACACCACCACAUCAUCUAAGGUCAUUGCCACCUGAUUUGUGCAUAUUCUUCUGAAGAGCCUGUGAUGUCAUUCUGCUGAGAUAUAUAUGAACUUCCCAUUCUAAACACAACCCAAGAUCAUUAAGAUUGCUAUCAUCUGCUUUCUUAUGUAUAUGCCUUGGCUUCUGAAGCUGAUAAUUGACAUUUCCUCCAAAUUCUGGUGAGAAUACUCCUAUGAUAAUCAGAAGAGUGUCAAUCAAUCGUUUGAGGUGCUCUUCAAGGUACCGUUUGGUAUGCUUGAAUGAGGGAAGGAAUGGAAUGCAGUAUUCCUUUCCUAUGAUAAAAGGCUGUUUGGUUGAUCACAUGGAAAGAAAUGAGGAGUUAUUCAACGAAUUUCAUUCCUUCAAAAAACGUGUUAGAAAUGAAAACUACUGAUUUUACCCUUCUCCUAGUUUUCCUUGUUAAGUUCAUGAAAAUCCUUAACAUUAUUGAAAAAUAUUGCAUCUAUCCACAAAUACUGAUGAAGAAUGUAUAUUUCUGUUUCUGAUUUCACAUCGUACCUAUCUGGGGUUCAAUUACAAAAUGAUAGAAUGCCUCUUAUAUUACAUCAGACCCCUUUAUUUAUACCCAACCUAAGCUUCUUGAAUCUAUAUUUGACUUUGACUUCUAACCGAUUGACUAUUUUGACCUUCUAAACUCUCAUCCAAUACAUGAUUCUCCUGGCUAGGCUAAUAAGUUAAAGUAGUUGAACUGGAUCUAAUGUUUGAUUUAGGAUAUGUUAAGUUUGUGAGUUUAAACCAAACCUAACUAUCCGAUUUUUCACUUUAUCAAAACUUCAAUUCUUUGCCCUGCAUCAUAGCUUACAUUUCUCACUCCCAUUAUCUUUUCGGGUUCCAUCUUUAGUUCCAAUUCUUCAGUGAGCUGGGCCGGAAUGAUUGGGGUUGCUGUUUGGUCGCCAAUGGCUUUCUUUAAUUGCGACACAUGGAAAACUGGGUGAAUCUUAGCUGUUUCUGGAAGGAGCAACUUGUAAGCCACUUCCCCUAUCUUCUUUGUGAUCAAGAAUGGGCCAAAAAAUCGAGCCGCCAGCUUCUGAAAUGGCCUGUGUGUGACCGAUUGUUGUCGGUAUGGUUAAAGCUUUAAAUACACCCAAUCCCCUUCAUUGAACUUGACUUCCCUUCUCUUAUUGUCAGCGUGUAUCUUCAUCUUCUGUUGAGCUCGCAAUAGUUGUCCCUUAAGCUCAUCAAGUAUGGCAUCCCGUUCCUUCAGCUGGUCUUCGACAUUGGGCACCCUAGUCUGUCCCUGUUGAAUACGGAUGAUACGAGGAGGAUCCCUGCCAUACAGGGCCUUGAAUGAAGUGCACUUCGUGGUCAUGUGGAACGAUGUGUUGUGCCAAAACUCUGCCCAUGGCAGCCAUUUGGACCAGGAUUUUGGUUUUCCUUGAAUGAAGCAACGAAGGUACAUCUCAACUGCCUUGUUAACAAUCUCAGUCUGACCAUCCGUUUGUGGAUGGUAGGCUGUGCUUCGCAUUAAUUUCGUCCCUUGAAGCCUGAAUAACUCUUGCCAAAACAGGCUCAUGAAAAUUUUGUCCCGAUCAGAAACGAUCGAUGAAGGGAACCAAUGUAGACGCACCACUUCUUUCACGAACAAGGCUGCAAUCGAAGCUGCAGUAAAAGGAUGUUUGAUUGCCAAGAAGUGGGCAUAUUUGGUCAAACGGUCCACUACCACUAUAAUAGUAUCCAAACCUUGAGACUUGGAAAGUCCCUCAAUGAAAUCCAUGGAUACUUCAUCCCGAACCUGAUUCGGAGUUGGUAAGGGUUGGAGUAACCCUGCUGGUUGCGUAUUGGCUGCCUUUUGGGUGGCACAUUCAUGGCACCUUUGAACAUGUUUCUGGACCGUCUUACGCAUCCUGACCCAAAACCAUUCCUCUGCCAGCCGCUGGUAGGUCUUGAAUUCCCCAGAAUGCCCCCUAUGACCGAAUUAUGGAAUUCUUCUAGGAGAAGUGGGAUCAAGGUGGAGUUUUGAGGUAUAACGAGUCGUCCCUUAUACAAUAACCGACGAUUGUUCACGGUGAAGCCCACAUGAGUCUUUCCUUCAUUGAGGAUGUCACUUGUUACUUGUUGAAUGAAGGUGUCAGCUUCAAUUUCUUUUUGCAAUUGGUCCAGGGGUAGAGACCAAGAAGAUGUAAUGCUGCCCAGUUCUGGGUUAGAUGUAAAUUCCCGAGAUAAGGCAUCCGCUACCUUAUUUGUUGUUCCUGGCUUAUAUUGGAUAUCGAAAUCGAACCCCAAUAAUUUGUACAUCCAUUUUUGAUACUCGGGUCCAACCUCGCGUUGAUCCAUCAGAUACUUGAGGCUCCUUUGGUCGGUGCGAAUAAUGAAAUGUUGUCCCAUCAGAUAGUGUCGCCAUUUCUUCACAGCUAAAACAAUAGCCAUCAACUCCUUUUCAUAUAUAGAUUUUAGCGGGUUUCACACCCCUAACACUUGGAUGUAGAAGGCAACGGGGCGACUGUCUUGGAUUAACACGGCUCCAAUUCCCGCUCCAGAAGCGUCGGUAUCCACCACAAAGGGUUUUGUAAAAUCAGGCAUAGCAAGGAUAGGGGCUUUGAUUAAGGCAUCUUUUAACGAUUGGAAUGCUUCUGUGGCUUCCAGUGACCAUCCAAGGUUAUCUUUUUUUAAUUGAUCGGUUAGAGGGGCGGCAAUCUUCACGUAACCCGAGAUAAACUUCCUGUAAUAACCCGUUAACCCCAAAAACCCUCUGAGUUCCCGUAGAGUAGAAAGGGUGGGACAACAUUCAAUGGCUUUAACCUUCUUAUUGUCAACGACCACCCCUUGUGCUGAAAUCACGUGCCCCAGAUACGCCACUUGUAAUCUUCCGAGUUCAUACUUUCCCGGGUUGGCAUAGAGCUUAUGUUUAUCCGGUAGUUCCAGCACCAGACUUAGAUGUUUCGAGUGUUGACGUUCAUCCGGACUAUACACCAGUAUAUCAUCAAAAAAGACAAGCACGAAUCUUCUAAGAUAAGGCUUAAACACCUCAUUCAUCACCGAUUGAAUGUAGCUGGGGCGUUUGUGAGCCCGAAGGGCAUGACGAGAAACUCGUAGUGGCCUUUGUGGGUUCGAAAGGCUGUUUUCGGAAUGUCUUCUUCCUUCAUUCUAAUCUGAUGGUACCCGGAUUUGAGAUCCAGUUUGGAGAAAAACUUAGACCCGUGCAACUCGUCCAACAAUUCAUCAAUCACAGGUAUAGGAAACUUAUCCUUUACUGUAACCCUGUUCAAGCUUCGGUAAUCCAUGCAAAACCUCCAAGAUCCGUCUUUUUUUUUUUUUUUUUUUUAACUAACAAGGAGGGACUUGAAAAUGGACUUCUGGAGGGACGGAUAACUUCUGCCUUUAGCAUUUCUAACAACAAUCUUUCGAUUUAUGCCUUUUGCGUGUGUGGGUAUGGUAAGGUCGGACUGACACUGGCUUUGUUCCUUCUUUGAGUGUGAUAGUGUGUUGCUGGUUCCUGUGGGGGGGAAGGCCACCCUUCCAUUCAAAAACAGAGGAAUACUUUUCGAUAACUGAAGUUAAAAAUUCUGGAGUUUCUGAGUGCAGGUUGGGUGAUUCAAGGGAUUCCAGGUGGUUAAGUUGCACCAACAACCCACCUCCAAUGGAAUUAAUGGUGCGAAUAAUCGUUUUAAGAGACACCCUUGCACGUUCCAACGAAGGAUCCCCCUUCAGUGUAAUUGCUUGACCGUUGACUUGGAAUUUCAUUAUUUGGGUUUUCCAGUUGGUGGUCGCUGCUCCCAAUUUCUCCAACCAUUGCACUCCAAGAAUAACAUCUGAAUUUCCCAAGUUUAAGGGUAGAAAUUCUUCCACAAUGUCUAGCCCCUGUAUGUGGAUCAAAACUUCUUGGCAUUUCCCUUGUCCGGAAACUGACUCCCCAGUGCCUAAAAUAACCCCAAAGCCAGGUGUAGUGGCGACUGGAAUUUGCAAUUUCUCGAUGAGAGUAAGAGACAAGAAGUUGUGGGUGGCACCUGGGUCUAUCAUUACCACCACUUCUGUGUUAUUCAACCAUCCCCUAAGUUUUAAGGUUUUCAGAUUGGCAAUACCUAUCACCGAGUUCAAGCAAAUUCCUGAUAAGAGGGCGUUGUCGGGGCCUUCAGGCGUAGGUUCCAACUCCAAUUUCGGAGUUGGUUCUUCUUCUAUAUCCUCAUCUUCUUGAAUCACCAUUACACUCAACUCCUUUUUGCAUCGAUGACCAGGGUUCCACUUCUCAUCGCAUCUGUAGCAAAUUCCUUUUUCCCACUUCCGAUAUCUCCAGUUGUGAUCGUCUCCACCCCCAUUUCCGUAUCUCGUUCCUCCGGCAUCACUAAACUCCUGGUGUUCCGUCUGUUGAAAUGAUCGGAGUGUUGUUGUUCUCCUCCCCCAUCGGUCCCUUCUCAUUAGGAGUUGUUGUUCGGUUCUUGACUAUGGCCCCCAACACUUCUUCGAGCUUUUGAUCCAUCUUAGACUGAUGUUGGCCCAUCUUCAACUGAAUAGAAGCUAGGGAGUUCGCUUGAUGUUGGAUUUGAUGGCCUUGAGUCUCCAAUCGAUCAUACAAGACGCCUAGUUCAGUCUCCAGCGAUUCCACCCUCUUGAGGUGAGCUCCACCAGUCUCUUUCCCACCACCUUUCUCUCCAGCCAUUUACCCAGGUGACUGCUCUGAUACCAAUUUGUUAUGAAUUCAGAUCAACAACAACAGGAUUCACAGAUUGACAAGAUUCAAUUGAUUCCUUUGAUAAACAAAUGCAAUGACAACAUAGAAUGUUAGCCUUCGAUACGCUAACUAUCUCCAAAAGAAUCCUUACAAAAUAUUCUGAUUGCCCUCUACUCACCACUCCACUACCUUAAAUACCCACGAGGAUAACCUGGGAUUAAUUCCCAAAAUGCCCUUGGUCCCCUCUAGGGUGUGUAACGCCCUUGUUAUCAGGUGUGGUCCCUCCUGCUAUGGCCUUGCCAUAUUUUUCCUUCUUUUGUACGUGAAUUGGAGAGGUGGGUGCAUGACACCUAACUAUCCGAUUUUUCAUUCACAUAAGUUAAACAUAUAUUGCUUUAUUCUAUUUGUAUAUGGUUUAUCUUGUAUCAGAUUAAUUAUUUUUGUUACAAUCUUUUCUCUUAUCAUAUAUUAGGAUUUUGACCAUUUCUGAAAAUACGUUACCGUUUUGACCAUUUUGACCAUUUCUUGGAAGUACAUUGCCAUUUGCCCAUGACCAUCUUCAAAUAGGAUGCAUGUUCGAUAAUAAUCUAUUUUGGCUUUUUAAAUGACCUUCCGUUUUAAAAUAACAAUUUUUGAAAGUGCAUUCCCAUUUUGACCAUUUUUGUAAGUACAUUACCAAUUUGGCCAUGAAUGACCGUAUUGACCAUCUAAAAAGCUUACUAUAUUUUGUAUCUUGUGAAUCAGAUACUUUGAAGGUUGAAUCAAAAUUAGUCUUGUUUGUCAUGGGCUUGGCGGUACAAAUCAAUAUUUUCCCACUCCUACAUGAAUGUAUAUGGAUUCAUGAUAAAAACUCUUAAAAUCAUUCAACUCAUUAUAAAACCAUUUUCAUGCAAUGCAAUGCACACAUAAUGAAACAUAUAUCAAAUAACUUGAAAGGUUUUAAUUUUGAAAUCAUUAUAAUUCAUUUUUUAUGAGUCAUGUAUUCUGUAUUAUUUACCUUAAUAGAACUUAAACUAUUUUUCUUCCCAUUAAGCCCGUAAACCUCUUAAGCACCACCUAUUAUCAUUAACAACAAUUUACUAUUAAAUGACUAAAAUACUCCUAGAGGGUUCUUGAGACAAUUGACAUCAUCCAAAAGCUUAUAUCUAUCCUAUUAGCUUAUAUUUAAGAUUUGUGGGAAAUCGGAGGUUGGAUGCUAGGACAUGAGAAUUUUAGUUUUUCUUUCACAGGUCAUUGCACGGUCUGUGUUGUUUCUAUGGCAGGUUGGCACUCCCCGUACCAAAGUGCAGGUCACCCAAAAAAUGAGUAUUUUCUCAUUUAAGCCAUGUACUUUGUAUUCUAGAUCUCCAAUGACUAUCAAACUUCACUAAUUUUGUGGGUUCAAACGUUUGCGAAGCUUAAUGGGUAAUUUUGUGGGUUUGAA